ensembl:lncRNA
AUUUUUAGGUGAACUAACCCUUUAAGAUAUUUAAGCAGCUUUUAUAAAAAUGUCUUAGAAGAAAACUUUACAGGUGUGAAACAGAACAAGGGCAAUGACAUAUUUUAAGAUAUGUCAGAGCAAGAUAUUUUCAUUUGAGACAGCUCAUACAUGCAUUUCAGUCUGACACUAGCCUUAAGCCUUGUCUGUGAAACCAGGGGUAUAAUUAGUAACUUACUAUGUUUUCUAUUGAAUUCUGAACAUCCAUAUUUGAUAACAUAACACCCGUAUCUGGUACUUGCCUAAAAAGAUGGGUUUAUAAUGUGCAUACUUAAUAUAUUACACUAGGCUACGUUUAGCCUUUCCCUGGAGUUGGUUCACCCUCUGCCAGUAUCUUAAAUUACACACUCAUGAGGUGUCAUUCAUGUAUGUAUAGACAAAUCUCUAGGAAUUCUGCAUUGAUGCUUGCUUCAGCACACACUACUAAAUAAAAAUAACCCCUUACAACGCUAAAAGUCCAGUUGUAUCUUUAGCUGAAUUCGUAGGGGUUUCCUGAGCCCUUUGGAGGAUAUGAAAGAAUAGCUAAUCAUAAACGUGGGUGGGGGAGGCUCCUUUUAUGGAAAAUAUAAUGAAUAUGGUUAUUCUGACAGCUUGUUCACACCCAGCCUCCCACAAACCUGGCAGAUUCACACUCUCCACACCCUGUCACCCCCAGCUCCUGAACCAAUCCACAGGCACGAGGGAAGAGAAGCCACAGAGCCGGAGAGCACCGGACCUCCAGACUGAUGCAGCCGGCCGGAAAACAAUGGCUUCUUUAAGCACCAGUGCGUUUUGAAUAAAUAAACAGACAAUAAUGAAGCACACGUCGUCGACACACCCUGAGUGAUGCAGCGUUACAGCUGAACUGAUCAUGCAAACGCCCUCUGACAGUGACUUCCAGCAUGAAGGGCGCCGCUAGGAGGGGCGGAGCCUGGAGCGGCUCUGUGCUUUCAAUGAGGUCCUCUUCUGGUGCAUAAUACAUUAGCAAACUAGACAUAAUACAGCUCACAAUGCUUUUUCAUCCUAAUUUUGUUCAAAACAAUGCAUGAACUCUCAUAAUUGAUUUAAUAUUAGUAAUCAGUAACAGUUAUUUUUAUGAUAUCAUAACAUUUUUAUUCAUUAAUGAUUAAG